AAGUCGUAACAAGGUUUCCGUAGGUGAACCUGCGGAAGGAUCAUUAUCAAUUGAUUCAUUCUAAUUGUGUGAACCCAACCCUAACACCCACUGCUUUGGGGAAAGCUGGCUGCGGCGUUCUGCGCUCAAGUCGGGGCCAACGUUAGUUGGCUUAUGGUCUAGUGUUGUUUCGGCGAUGCUGGACGGACGCGAUUCUUUGGAUUGCGACACUUUCCUCAAAGUAUGGAUGAUUUUACCUAUCUUUACGUCAAGGCUAAAUCAAAAAAGUCGACGUUUGAGUACGCGUAGUGGCGCUCUGUCGACGGUCAAUUUAUUUACAACUUUCAGCAACGGAUCUCUCGGCUCUU
rnacentral:misc_RNA from 1 species